GGGAGCUCUCCCAUAUGGUCGACCUGCAGGCGGCCGCGAAUUCACUAGUGAUUCGUAUUACCGCGGCUGCUGGCACGAAGUUAGCCGGGGCUUCUUCUGCGGGUACCGUCAUUAUCUUCCCCGCCGAAAGGGCUUUACAACCCUAGGGCCUUCAUCACCCACGCGGCAUGGCUGGAUCAGGGUUUCCCCCAUUGUCCAAUAUUCCCCACUGCUGCCUCCCGUAGGAGUCUGGGCCGUGUCUCAGUCCCAGUGUGGCUGGUCAUCCUCUCAGACCAGCUACGGAUCGUCGCCUUGGUAGGCCGUUACCCUACCAACUAGCUAAUCCGACGCGGGCCGAUCUUUCGGCAAUGAAUCUUUCCCCCGAAGGGCGUAUCCGGUAUUAGCCCAAGUUUCCCUGGGUUAUCCCGAACCGAAAGGCACGUUCCCACGCGUUACUCACCCGUCUGCCACUGUCCACCACCCGAAGGUGGCUUCUCGUUCGACUUGCAUGUGUUAGGCCUGCCGCCAGCGUUCGUUCUGAGCCAUGAUCACACUAAUCGAAUUCCCGCGGCCGCCAUGGC
rnacentral:rRNA from 1 species